CCUACGGGAGGCAGCAGUGAGGAAUAUUGGUCAAUGGACGAGAGUCUGAACCAGCCAAGUAGCGUGAAGGAUGACUGCCCUAUGGGUUGUAAACUUCUUUUAUAUGGGAAUAAAAUGUUCCACGUGUGGGAUUUUGUAUGUACCAUAUGAAUAAGGAUCGGCUAACUCCGGGCCAGCAGCCGCGUUAAUACGGAGGAUCCGAGCGUUAUCCGGAUUUAGUGGGUUUAAAGGGAGCGUAGGGGGAUUGUUAAGUCAGUUGUGAAAGUUUGCGGCUCAACCGUAAAAUUGCAGUUGAAACUGGCAGUCUUGAGUACAGUAGAGGUGGGCGGAAUUCGUGGUGUAGCGGUGAAAUGCUUAGAUAUCACGAAGAACUCCGAUUGCGAAGGCAGCUCACUGGACUGCAACUGACACUGAGGCUCGAAAGUGUGGGUAUCAAACAGGAUUAGAUACCCUUGUAGUC
rnacentral:rRNA from 1 species